rnacentral:rRNA from 1 species
UACGUAGGGUGCAAGCGUUGUCCGGAAUUAUUGGGCGUAAAGAGCUCGUAGGCGGUUUGUCGCGUCGGCCGUGAAAACUUGGGGCUUAACCCCGAGCCUGCGGUCGAUACGGGCAGACUUGAGUUCGGCAGGGGAGACUGGAAUUCCUGGUGUAGCGGUGAAAUGCGCAGAUAUCAGGAGGAACACCGGUGGCGAAGGCGGGUCUCUGGGCCGAUACUGACGCUGAGGAGCGAAAGCGUGGGGAGCGAACAGG